CAGUUAUUAGCCGUUCUCUAAAUAUCUAGUUAUUAGAGGUAUUAUGGUUGUAAAGGUUGUCUGGUGUCCAGAAUUAUUUGCCAGUAAAAAGAUUUAUAUGUAUCCAGAAUUCUUUACCAGUAAAUAUGGCUUCGUUGUCACUUUUAGGUGUAGGUGAGAAUGUAUAGAUGAUCAUGCAUAGGUCAUAUCUGUAGGGGAUGGAAACAGGAGUGAUUAAAAGAGCGAUGCUUUUAUUUGCUAUUAGUCUGGCUAUGCUAUUUGGUUAUUUUUUUUUACAUGUUAUGUACUUUGAUUUGUCGCAGAAAUUGGUUCAUCGACCAUAAUGGCUGGUCAGAAGAACAGCUAUGGAAAGCGGUCUCAUUCUCAGUCUGACUAUGAUAAUGGGUCAAAUAAAAGAAGAAAUUCUGGUGAUGAUAGAGACCAUUUUGCCAUUGAUUCACAAGAUACUGUAUAUCGCUACUUGUGUCCUGUUAAGAAGAUUGGAAGUAUCAUUGGAAGGGGAGGUGACAUUGUUAAGCAGUUAAGGAUAGAUACAAAGUCAAAGAUUAGGAUUGGUGAGACAGUUCCUGGUUGUGAAGACCGUGUUGUUACCAUCUAUAGUGCCAGUGAUGAGACUAAUGCCUAUGAAGAUAGUGGUAAUUAUAUUUGUCCUGCUCAGGAUGCUCUGUUCAGAGUGCAUGAUAAAGUUAUUGCAGAAGACUUGCAUGAUGAUGACUCUGAAGGAGGUCAUCAAGUCACUGCUAGGCUUCUUGUACCAUCUGAUCAGAUAGGUUGUAUUAUUGGGAAAGGUGGGCAAAUAGUUCAGAACAUUCGGAGUGAGACAGGUGCACAGAUUCGCAUUCUCAAGGAUGAACAUUUGCCUUCUUGUGCGUUGAGCACGGAUGAGCUUGUACAGAUUUCUGGUGAACCUACAAUUGUCAAAAAGGCUUUAUAUCAGAUCGCCUCUCGCCUUCAUGAGAAUCCAGCACGUUCUCAGCACUUGCUUUUAUCUGCUGUCCCCAAUGUGUACUCUGCUACAGGUUCAUUAAUAGGUCCCACUGGAGGUGCACCAAUUGUUGGAAUAGCUCCUCUUGUGAGUCCUUAUGGAGGAUACAAAGGUGAUGCUGGAGAUUGGUCACGGUCCUUGUACUCAGCUCCAAGAGAUGAACUUUCUUCAAAAGAAUUUGCUCUCCGUUUGGUUUGUCCAACUGGGAAUAUUGGUGGUGUAAUCGGAAAAGGUGGUGCCAUCAUCAAUCAGAUCAGACAGGAAUCUGGAGCACUUAUCAAAGUUGAUAGUUCAACAGCUGAAGGAGAUGAUUGCCUGAUAACUAUUUCAGCCAAGGAGCUUUUUGAUGACCAAUAUUCUCCAACUAUAGAAGCAGCAUUGCGUUUGCAACCGAGAUGCAGUGAGAAAAUUGAAAGAGAUUCAGGCCUCAUUUCAUUCACUACACGCCUACUGGUGCCCACCUCAAGAAUUGGUUGUCUCCUUGGUAAAGGUGGAACAAUUGUAAAUGAGAUGAGGAAACUUACCAAGGCUAAUAUUCGCAUACUUGGCAAGGACAACCUUCCCAAGGUGGCAUCUGAAGAUGAAGAAAUGGUGCAGAUAUCUGGAGACAUUGAUGUUGCUAAAGAUGCUCUCAUACAUGUAAGUCGACGGUUAAGAGCAAAUGUUUUUGAUAGGGAAGGUGCUGUAUCUGCAUUUCUGCCAGUUCUGCCUUACCUUCCUGUCUCAGCCGAUAGUUCGGAUGGCUUAAAUUAUGAUAACAGAGAUAGUAAAAGACAUGGACGUGGGCAUUCUUAUUCUGGUGGCUAUGGCUCUAGUGACUACGCUGCUGGUGAUAGUUAUGGUGCUUAUGGUAGUUCCCAGAUUGGUGGUAGUGGAGGUGCUUAUGGAGCUUAUGGAAACUAUUUGUCAGGACGAUCUAGUACCGCUGGGUGAGAAUUUUUUUUUCCCCUCUUGCCAUGUUUAGGAUAUCUUUGACUGUCAAGUAUUGGUUCUAAUUUGGGAAUGUGUUAGGAGAAGCCUAAGGUUGACAGUUGUUACAUUUUAAGUUGUGCACCUAACAGCUGAAAACUUCUAGUUAGAUAGCACAAAAUUGGUUGAAAUGUCAUCUUCUUGGUUCUAAUAGAAGUUAUAUGUGGAUUGAUACUUUCUUGGACUGCUUAUUUGCUGGUGUUAUGUCCCUAUUAUGUCUCUAGGAAAUUUACUGUCCUUUGUAAGGAUGAUAAUGGCAUAAACUUCUAAGUCCUGACUAACAGCUAUAUUACCAGGUUAUCUGGCCAGACCCCUGGUUCUGGACGCAAAAACAAUUACUAGAUUUUGAUGAUGGCUAUGUGCAGGUAGACUCUGGUUUUCUUUUUUACUUUUUCCUCUCCAUGGAGUUAAGUGGCAAUUUCCUCUGAUAUAGGCCAGUCACAAACUAGUAUGAGAUAGUUUCAUAUUGUAACCUAUCCAGUCUCCCUCUAUUUAGGAUUCUGAUGCUCUAAUUUUUACCAUGUUGCCUUUCCCUUCCCAUUAAAACAGCUGAGAUCCAUGAAGCCCGAUGCCAGCCUACUACUGCCUCUUUUGAUGAAGCCUCCUGCCCAAAACUGGACGACCAGAUGUACCAGGGUUUGACAUAUUCAUGGUCCACCUUGACGAUCUCACCUAAAAGGACCAAAUCUAUUUGAAGAUCCUGAUUUUGACUAUUGAAAUUUGUCAUGUCCCUGACACAAAUUACCAAGGCUCUACAUAUUGUGCUCCUAAAAACCUUUUUAGCUCGCAUUCCUUUGUUGCUCUGUUUUUUAGUGGAACAUAUCGUCAAUAGUACAAAACCAAGUUGCUUCCGUCCUUUGACAGUUGUACUAAUAGUGUCUGUUUUAUCUACAAGUCUCCAUUAUAUUAAGUUUAAAUUUGGAAUUUAUAGCGGAUUUUAUCGCUUGAAAAUUUGGCUAGUUAUAAUGAAAUGCUGCAGAACUCUAAUGUUGUCUGAAUUGCAGGUUUGAUAUUCAUCUAUUGCAUCAUCAAUAAAAGGUGGUAAAUUUGUCCUUGUUAUAGUUUUUAGCUGAGUAGCAUCUCUGUGGAGGAAAAUGUAACUGGAAUAAUUGCAUUUAGACAAACAAGUUUAAUUAAUUGUGAGAACGCUUAUGUUUGUUUUAGCUAUCAACUUCAUUUGACCAUACAAGUUUGAGUGAAGUGCCAGAAACAUCAUAUCUUACAGCACGCCUCUUCUGGUAAUAUUAUUCAAGUUGUAGUGAUUAGAUAAGAUUUCUUCUUUUUUUGCUUUUCUAGUUAUUUAUUUUAUUGAUCGAAUUUGUGAGGUGCAAGUAUGGAGGUAUGUGGUGAAGAAUGACAGUAGAAUGCACCUGCUUCUAUUUUGAACUUUGAAGAUAUGGAGGGACACGAAGAAAAAAAAAAAGGGGGUGCAUUCAACCAUUUCAUCCAUAUUUACACCCCAUAAUUGCUUCCAUGUCAAUGGCCGUAUUUGUUAAUAAUUUAUUCGGUUCUCUGCAUGCUUUAAAAACUUCUGUAUUUGCAGUAGUAUCAUCCUGAUUUGCAUUCGUAAAUUCCAUCAUCAAGUUUUUUUGUUAGUGAUGGGUUAUGUAGCAGAAGGGAGAAAAAGGAUGAAAAUUUCUAGGGUUUCUGUCGGGGAACUAUCCUGCAUUUGCCAGGUAAAGUUUGGAGGUGCUAUGUGAAACCUGAAAGGUGUUUUGCAUGUCACUUCGGUGGAUAUUCUUGAGAUUCUCUUUGAGGCUGGUCAGUUCUGUUUGGAAGGUUGAAUCUGAUUUGUUAAAUGGCACCGUGGUAGGUUAUUUGCUUGUGAUAUUUUCGCGUGAGGUGGAUGGUAGAUGAGCAUGGCACUGAUGGAUUAUUUUUGUCUCAUGUCCAAUUUGGACAGGUUUUAUUGUCGGCUGGUGAAUCAUAUGGUUGGUAAAAUUAGCAGGUGGAGCACAAGCACUUGCUGUUUUAGCUGCCAGAAUUAACCUCCCUCCAUGCUUUAUACUUUGUAUGCCAUGCCUCUGUAUUAAAGCACAUUCUGAGACUUUUGAUGGUUCAUUAACUGAAAUAUCAAAUAUUAAUAUCUAUACUAGUUGAUGUGCUUAUGAAACCUCUUCUUGGUAUUUCAUUUGAUGCAUUCGUCUGGCUUUAUUAUGUGUAUAAUACAUUUUUUCUUAUAAGCAAUACGCAAUUAUUUAUGUAAUUGGGCUUUUGCCCGCGCAAUGCCUAGGUAUGAUCAUUGUCGAUAUACUACUUAAACGAUAGUCUUUUACCUAUCGUCUUUUCCAAUUAAUUUUUUACUGUUGUUUGAAUAAUGCUUAGCAUUAGAGCUUCAACUGCUAAGAG
rnacentral:misc_RNA from 1 species